rnacentral:rRNA from 1 species
CGUAGGGAGCAAGCGUUGUCCGGAUUCACUGGGUGUAAAGGGUGCGUAGGCGGGACAAUAAGUCAGUGGUGAAAUCUUACGGCUCAACCGUGAAACUGCCAUUGAUACUGUUGUUCUUGAGUUCGGGAGAGGUUGAUGGAAUUCCAGGUGUAGCGGUGAAAUGCGUAGAUAUCUGGAAGAACACCAGUGGCGAAGGCGGUCAACUGGCCCGAAACUGACGCUGAGGCACGAAAGCGUGGGUAGCGAACAGGAUUAGAUACCCUGGUAGUCCACGCCCUAAACGAUGAAUGUUUGGUGUUGGCCGGAAACGGUCAGUGCCGGAGGUAACCUGGUAAGCAUUCCACCUGGGGAGUACGCUCGCAAGGGUG